rnacentral:rRNA from 1 species
CAGCCGCCGCGGUAAUACGAAGGGUGCAAGCGUUAAUCGGAAUUACUGGGCGUAAAGCGCACGUAGGCGGCUUGGUAAGUUAGAGGUGAAAGCCUGGAGCUCAACUCCAGAAUUGCCUUUAAGACUGCCGAGCUAGCAGGUGAGAGAGGUAAGUGGAAUUCCGAGUGUAGAGGUGAAAUUCGUAGAUAUUCGGAAGAACACCAGUGGCGAAGGCGGCUUACUGGCUCAUACUGGACGCUGAGGUGCGAAAGCGUGGGGAGCAAACAGGAUUAGAGACCCGCGUAGUCCCUGUCUCUUAUAC